rnacentral:rRNA from 1 species
UAAGCGGAGGAAAAGAAACUAACAAGGAUUCCCCUAGUAACGGCGAGUGAACCGGGAAGAGCUCAAAUUUGAAAUCUGGCGUCCUCAGGGCGUCCGAGUUGUAAUCUAUAGAGGCGUUUUCCGUGCCGGACCGUGUCCAAGUUCCUUGGAACAGGAUAUCAAAGAGGGUGACAAUCCCGUACUUGACACGACGACCGGUGCUCUGUGAUACGUCUUCUACGAGUCGAGUUGUUUGGGAAUGCAGCUCAAAAUGGGUGGUGAGUUCCAUCUAAAGCUAAAUAUUGGCGAGAGACCGAUAGCGAACAAGUACCGUGAGGGAAAGAUGAAAAGCACUUUGGAAAGAGAGUUAAACAGUACGUGAAAUUGUUGAAAGGGAAACGAUUGAAGUCAGUCGUGACCGAGAGGCUCAGCCGGUUCUGCCGGUGUAUUCCCCUCGGUCGGGUCAACAUCAGUUUUGUCCGGUGGAUAAGGGCGGUAGGAAGGUGGCACCCUCGGGUGUGUUAUAGCCUGCCGUCGCAUACAUCGGGUGAGACUGAGGAACGCAGCUCGCCUUUAUGGCCGGGGUUCGCCCACGUCCGAGCUUAGGAUGUUGACAUAAUGGCUUU